GUGGCCAUAGCUCAAUUGGUUAGAGCGCCGGAUUGUGGUUCCGGAGGCUGGGGGUUCGAGACCCCUUGGCCACC
rnacentral:tRNA from 1 species